rfam:Sphaeroforma arctica JP610 cont1.21935, whole genome shotgun sequence.
GCCUACGGCCAUAUCCAGCAAAAAUUACCCGAUCCCGGAAGUCAAACUGCUGCGAGCGUGGUCAGUACUGCGGUGGGGGACCACGCGGGAAUAUUACGUGCCGUAGGCA